UACGGAGGGGCUAGCGUUGUUCGGAAUUACUGGGCGUAAAGCGCACGUAGGCGGCUUUGUAAGUUAGAGGUGAAAGCCCGGGGCUCAACUCCGGAAUUGCCUUUAAGACUGCAUCGCUCGAAUUGUGGAGAGGUAAGUGGAAUUCCGAGUGUAGAGGUGAAAUUCGUAGAUAUUCGGAAGAACACCAGUGGCGAAGGCGACUUACUGGACACAUAUUGACGCUGAGGUGCGAAAGCGUGGGGAGCAAACAGG
rnacentral:rRNA from 1 species